AGAUUGAACGCUGGCGGCAUGCCUAACACAUGCAAGUCGAACGGGAGUAGCAAUACUCUAGUGGCGGACGGGUGAGGAAUACGUAGGAAUUUGCCCUUAAGUGGGGGAUAACCCGGGAAACCCGGAUUAAUACCGCAUGACCUCGAAGAGCAAAGUGGGGGAUCGCAAGACCUCACGCUUUUAGGAGAAGCCUACGUCGGAUUAGCUUAGUUGGUGAGGUAAUGGCUCACCAAGGCGACGAUCCGUAACUGGUCUGAGAGGAUGAUCAGUCACACCGGAACUGAGACACGGUCCGGACUCCGACGGGAGCAGCAGUGGGAAUAGUUGGACAAGUGGGCA
rnacentral:rRNA from 1 species